rnacentral:snRNA from 2 species
GUGCUUGCUUCGGUAGCACAUAUACUAAAUUUGGUAUGAUACAGAGAAGAUAGCAUGGCCCCUGUGCAAGGAUGACACGCAAAUUCAUGAAGUGUUCCAUAUUUUU